rnacentral:rRNA from 1 species
GACGAACGCUGGCGGCGUGCUUAACACAUGCAAGUCGAACGGAAAGGCCCUGCUUUUGUGGGGUGCUCGAGUGGCGAACGGGUGAGUAACACGUGAGUAACCUGCCCUUGACUUUGGGAUAACUUCAGGAAACUGGGGCUAAUACCGGAUAGGAGCUCCUGCUGCAUGGUGGGGGUUGGAAAGUUUCGGCGGUUGGGGAUGGACUCGCGGCUUAUCAGCUUGUUGGUGGGGUAGUGGCUUACCAAGGCUUUGACGGGUAGCCGGCCUGAGAGGGUGACCGGCACAUUGGGACUGAGAUACGGCCCAGACUCCUACGGGAGGCAGCAGUGGGGAAUAUUGCACAAUGGGCGGAAGCCUGAUGCAGCAACGCCGCGUGCGGGAUGACGGCCUUCGGGUUGUAAACCGCUUUCGCCUGUGACGAAGCGUGAGUGACGGUAAUGGGUAAAGAAGCACCGGCUAACUACGU